rnacentral:rRNA from 1 species
CGGGACACGUGGUAUCCUGUCUGAAUAUGGGGGGACCAUCCUCCAAGGCUAAAUACUCCUGACUGACCGAUAGUGAACCAGUACCGUGAGGGAAAGGCGAAAAGAACCCCGGCGAGGGGAGUGAAAAAGAACCUGAAACCGUGUACGUACAAGCAGUGGGAGCACGCUUAGGCGUGUGACUGCGUACCUUUUGUAUAAUGGGUCAGCGACUUAUAUUCUGUAGCAAGGUUAACCGAAUAGGGGAGCCGAAGGGAAACCGAGUCUUAACUGGGCGUUAAGUUGCAGGGUAUAGACCCGAAACCCGGUGAUCUAGCCAUGGGCAGGUUGAAGGUUGGGUAACACUAACUGGAGGACCGAACCGACUAAUGUUGAAAAAUUAGCGGAUGACUUGUGGCUGGGGGUGAAAGGCCAAUCAAACCGGGAGAUAGCUGGUUCUCCCCGAAAGCUAUUU